rnacentral:rRNA from 1 species
UACGUAGGGGCUAGCGUUAUCCGGAAUUACUGGGCGUAAAGGGUGCGUAGGUGGUUUCUUAAGUCAGAGGUGAAAGGCUACGGCUCAACCGUAGUAAGCCUUUGAAACUAAUAAACUUGAGUACUGGAGAGGUAAGCGGAAUUCCUAGUGUAGCGGUGAAAUGCGUAGAUAUUGGGAAGAACACCGGUGGCGAAGGCGACUUGCUGGGCAGCAACUGACGCUGAGGCGCGAAAGCCAGGGGAGCAAACGGGAUUAGAUACCCGUGUAGUCCCUGAGCGGGCUGGCAA